UAGUGAUUGUUUUGGUCUUUUGUUGCAACUCAAACGCUUUACUAAAAAUUAUAGAGCAAUGCUCCUAUACACUAUAAGAUCUCAGCCUUUAAAUUUUUUAAAAUGGAUGGUGGAUAUGCCUUUUAUUCAAGAGAGUGACCGGCUUUUGUUGCCUUACGUACCGGUUACCCUCUUACCGGGGGCAAAACAUUUUCUCAUAUGUAAAGUUAGUAUCAAGGGCUUUUUUGUAAAUUCAUAUUAUCAUUCCUAUAAUGCCCCUUUAGUAAAUAUAGAACAUAUCAUUCUAU
rnacentral:lncRNA from 1 species